rnacentral:tRNA from 2 species
GCCUUUGUAGCUCAGUUGGCAGAGCGCGUUCUUGGUAAGAACGAGGUCUCGGGUUCAAUUCCCGACAAAGGCU